rnacentral:rRNA from 1 species
ACGGAAGGCAGCAGUGGGGAAUAUUGGGCAAUGGGCGAAAGCCUGACCCAGCAACGCCGCGUGAAGGAAGAAGGCCUUCGGGUUGUAAACUUCUUUUACCAGGGACGAAGAACGUGACGGUACCUGAAGAAAAAGCAACGGCUAACUACGUGCCAGCAGCCGCGGUAAUACGUAGGUUGCAAGCGUUGUCCGGAUUUACUGGGUGUAAAGGGCGUGUAGGCGGAGCUGCAAGCCAGAUGUGAAAUCCCGGGGCUCAACCCCGGAACUGCAUUUGAAACUGUAGCCCUUGAGUAUCGGAGAGGCAAGCGGAAUUCCUCGUGUAGCGGUGAAAUGCGUAGAUAUUAGGAGGAACACCAGUGGCGAAGGCGGCUUGCUGGACGACAACUGACGCUGAGGCGCGAAAGCGUGGGGAGCAAACAGGAUUAGAUACCCUGGUA